rnacentral:rRNA from 1 species
UACGUAGGGCGCAAGCGUUGUCCGGAAUUAUUGGGUGUAAAGAGCUCGUAGGCGGUUUGUCGCGUCUGCUGUGAAAACCUGAGGCUCAACCUCGGGCUUGCAGUGGGUACGGGCAGACUAGAGUGCGGUAGGGGUGACUGGAAUUCCUGGUGUAGCGGUGAAAUGCGCAGAUAUCAGGGAGGGAACACCGGUGGCGAAAGGCGGGUCUCUGGGGCCGAUACU